CCAGAUGGCCGGAUGGCUGCCCUGAUUGCUUGCAAUCGGGGAGGAAAGUCCGGGCUCCACGGAAACACGGUGCCAGAUAACGUCUGGCGGGGGCGACCCUAGGGAAAGUGCCACAGAGAGGAUACCGCCGGAUCGCGCAAGCCAUCCGGUAAGGGUGAAAGGGUGCGGUAAGAGCGCACCGGUCCUUCAGCAAUGCGGGACGCAUGGUAAACCCCACCGGGAGCAAAACCUAAUAGGAAUGGUCGGCCGGGUGCUUCGGCAUUGUCGGCAGGUGGGUUUUCGCACCACCAUUCGGGUUGGUUGCAGGAGGCGUUCGGCGACGGACGUCCCAGAUGAAUAGUCAUCCAGUGCGGUUCGCCGCAUGGACAGAACCCGGCUUACAGGCCAUCUGGUCUU
rfam:Thalassospira sp. HJ NODE_2, whole genome shotgun sequence.